CAAUUUUCGUUCUAACUGAUGAAUGGAGAGACUUUUUUGCUAAAUCUGAGGCUAAACGGAGGGAAGCAAAGAAGCAGGCUAAGAAACACAAGAAUUAGACGGGGACUUGCCAACACAAUUCAAAUUGAGAGUUAAUGUUGAAGAAUUUGGAAGCUGUUCUGUGCCAUUCUUAUCAACUUUAGCAGAUUGACUCACAUUAUAUGGGAAAAGUUCUUCAUUCUAUUCUGUGUUUCAUUUUCAACGAAUAUCUUGUUCCAUCAAACCUCAACAACUCAUAAUAUGCCUUUAUAGAAAUUGCAUUCAAGUUUAGUACUACAAUU